AUGUAGCUCAGUGGUAGAGGGCAUGCUUAGCAAGCACAAAGCCCUGGGUUCAAUCCCCAGUAU
rfam:Camelus ferus unplaced genomic scaffold scaffold390, whole genome shotgun sequence.